UCCUCAGUGGUGUCAGUGGUAGAGCACGCGUCCCCGGAUAGGAUGAAACGUGGGUUCGAUUCCCGCCUGAGGUC